rnacentral:rRNA from 1 species
UGGGGAAUAUUGCACAAUGGGCGCAAGCCUGAUGCAGCGACGCCGCGUGAGGGAUGACGGCCUUCGGGUUGUAAACCUCUUUCAGUAGGGAAGAAGCGAAAGUGACGGUACCUGCAGAAGAAGCGCCGGCUAACUACGUGCCAGCAGCCGCGGUAAUACGUAGGGCGCAAGCGUUAUCCGGAAUUAUUGGGCGUAAAGAGCUCGUAGGCGGUUUGUCGCGUCUGCCGUGAAAGUCCGGGGCUCAACUCCGGAUCUGCGGUGGGUACGGGCAGACUAGAGUGAUGUAGGGGAGACUGGAAUUCCUGGUGUAGCGGUGAAACGCGCAGAUAUCAGGAGGAACACCGAUGGCGAAGGCAGGUCUCUGGGCAUUAACUGACGCUGAGGAGCGAAAGCAUGGGGAGCGAACAGGAUUAGAUACCCUGGUAGUCCAUGCCGUAAACGUUGGGCACUAGGUGUGGGGGACAUUCCACGUUUUCCGCGCCGUAGCUAACGCAUUAAGUGCCCCGCCUGGGGAGUACGGCCGCAAGGCUAAAACUCAAAGGAAUUGACGGGGGCCCGCACAAGCGGCGGAGCAUGCGGAUUAAUUCGAUGC